rfam:Erwinia carotovora subsp. atroseptica SCRI1043, complete genome
ACUGCUUUUCUUUGAUUCCCCUUAUUGAGGAAGCCCAUCGUUCCCGCCUUUCAGGUUCAAGAGCGAUGGGCGUUUUCUUU